UUUUACUCUUUUUUCUCCCUAAAACACAGCAGCUCUUGGUCUUUCUUCCUCCCCACCAAACUGUGAGCUCCACCCCCUCUUAACUCUCAUCUCUUCUUCACACAAGCUCGGAUUAACAUGGGAAUGGGUUGAGCUCGUGUGGAAGACACAGAGGAAGGGUUUCAAGGGCUGAAAAUAAUAGCUUGAGCUUGGAUCAUGGGUUUUGCUUUCAAGUGAAAUUCCAUCAUUUACAAGCCUAGAGUAGUGAUUAUCAACAUCAAAGGGUUCAAUCUACCAAUUAUUACAAGGCUCAUGUCGUCAUUGGAGACUUCAAUUGGUUCUCCAAUGUAGAGUUCGAGUCAUGAGUCCAAUGCAGCCCAAAUGAUGUUCCUUUGGCUGUAGGUACUCCAGUCGUAGUUGAUGGUGUUGUAGAUGUGCACUUGAGAUAUUAUGACCGAAGCUCGCCGGGACAGUAGUAAUUGCGGGACCAUGGAUGUCCUCUGUUGUAACGGCCCGCUUUUACAAAAAACGUAAGUGAAAAUUUUCGAAUUUUCACAUGACAUUACUAACUUAUCAGAGGUAAUUAUUGACAACGGAAUAAAUGUAAUAUAGAUUUGGGAAUAGAUCGACACCUCAAAGCUAAUACUGAAAUACCUCAAAAUAUAUAAUAAGCCAGUAAGCAUAAUUAUACAAACAGUGAUAACAGUCAUGCCUCACAGGGCAAGAUAGUCAUACAAGCCAAAUAUAUACAUAUAACUGAAGGAUCAUAAGUAAUGUCUUGAGCUAAGUAGGGUGAACUACAAUAGGGUAGUCCCAAAAAGAAAGGCUAUCUAGCUUUGCAAAAAGACUGAACCAGGGACCAUUUAUGAGUCGGGAUAGUCCUGAUAUUCUUCUUCUUCUUCUUCUUUAUAGCUUGAAUCAUUACAAAAUACCAUACAAAGAGAAGACAACAACAUAAACACUAAAGUGAGUCCACUGUUUCCAAUAAUAAUACGAGUGCUGAUUUAUUUAAUUAAUGCAACACAAUACAAUGGCCAUAUAAUCACAUGUAUAUGCAAAAUAUAAUCUAUGAUCGCGAAUCAUAGACAUAAAAUGAACAUAAACGUAAUCAUAAAGCAAUGACAGUUUUAAGUGUAGAGUUUUAGAUAAUUCCCUUUUUCCACUCCUCUGUUGGCCUAGGCACGAUUAACGUGUUAUUUGAAGCCUGAGCUUCCUCCCUUUAACUUUUAAUUAUUUUCUUUGGGAGCCUAGGCUCCUGGAAACCUCGGUUUCCCUGGUGACCUAGGUACACCAGUUUUUGUAUUUAUUAGUCUCUUUUCAAGUACCUCCUCAUUCACUGAGAACCUAGGAACUCAUGUGAAGCCUCAUGUACCCACUGUGGAUCUAGAUCCAGGAGCUUGUUAUUAGACAGAUUAUUAAAAAUAAUAAAAUAUGAAAAGCUACAUGCGCAAACAAGUAAAUAAAGCAGUAAGCAUAUAUUAUAGGAAAAGUCAACCAGCUUCGUCCUCAGUAAGUAUAAAGAUAUUUACUAGUUUCUACUCCAAAUAUUUUCCUUUACAAUUGCAUAAUAAUCAUCAUGUGAUAAUAAUAGAUUAAUAAAGCAUUUACGAAAACAUUAUUAUUACCAUAUCUCUUACUAGACAUUACAACGGCCACAGAUUUACACAUGAUCUCGUAUCUAUUUAUUUAUUUUAGUACUUACUUACCAAUUCUUAUAUUAGUACUACCAGAAUUAUCCAUCCUUUAGGGCAUCAUUUAACACAUAACAUACCUUAAAAACAAGAAUACAAAUGUCAUUUAAUCAAGUACACAUAUGAAUUUGCCUUCCUUUAAUUCACACAU